GCCCCGGUGGUGUAGUCCGGACUAUCAUACUGCCCUUUCGAGGCGGUGACCCGGGUUCGAAUCCCGGCCGGGGCA
rnacentral:tRNA from 2 species